rnacentral:rRNA from 1 species
AACGAACGCUGGCGGCAGGCCUAACACAUGCAAGUCGAGCGAAGCCUUCGGGCUUAGCGGCGGACGGGUGAGUAACGCGUGGGAACGUGCCCUUUGGUACGGAAUAGCCCCGGGAAACUGGGAGUAAUACCGUAUGUGGUCGAGAGACGAAAGAUUUAUCGCCAAAGGAUCGGCCCGCGUUGGAUUAGGUAGUUGGUGGGUAAUGGCCUACCAAGCCGACGAUCCAUAGCUGGUUUGAGAGGAUGAUCAGCCACACUGGGACUGAGACACGGCCCAGACUCCUACGGGAGGCAGCAGUGGGGAAUCUUAGACAAUGGGGAAACCCUGAUCUAGCCAUGCCGCGUGAUCGAUGAAGGCCUUAGGGUUGUAAAGAUCUUUCAGUGGGGAAGAUAAUGACUGUACCCACAGAAGAAGCCCCGGCUAACUCCGUGCCAGCCGCCGCAGUAACAC